AGAGAUCUUUACGACUAACGUUACAAAAAAUUAUUUACACGACUUUAUUGUCAUAGCAUUUAGGUCGUGUAAACAUUUUUUUGUUACUUUGGCUGUAAAUUUCUCUUUGACGUCGACUGUACCUAAGCCGGUUUUCUGAAAGGAAAAACUCAGCGCAAAAAGUAAAAAAAAAAACGAAAAAGUUCACCGAUGGCGGGAAUAGAACCCAAGUCUCAAGCGAACACUUUGUCCUAAGUCAAACAUACCUAAGCUGCUUGCUAGAUUCAGACCAGACAUGCAAGUGUUAUAUUUUAAAUGUCCAACAGCUAUGAAAUUAUGAUUUUAAAAUAACACUUUGCAAGUCUUUGCUUUGAAAAACACUGCAGCGUUACCUUGGUCUUACUCUGCCACCCUAGUUAGUAAGCAUGCUAAAAGCAGUUUUUCGGAAUUAUUUGUCGAUUAAUGUCUAUAAGGAAAAAUUACGAAUUAUAAUAAUGUAAAAAAAAACCGCCCAAGUGCAUGUUAGUAUCGUGCACGAAGGGACUCCGUUACUCAAAAAAGGGAAAAAAUGACGUUUGUUGUAUGGGAGCCCCAUUUAAAUAUUUAUUAUAAUGUGUUUUUAGUAUUUGUUGUUAUAGCGGCAACAGAAAUACAUCAUCUGUGAAAAUUUCAACUGCCUAGCUAUCACGGUUCAUGAGGUACAGCCUGGUGACAGACAGACGAACAGACAGUCUCAGAUAACGGUUAAGUAUACUAUUCAGUUAUAUAUUACUGUGACAGAGACAUUGGGCGUUUCGUUCGCUACGGAGUGUGAACGAUUUGCAACUUGGCUAUGCACCCAGCUACCUCGCACAUCUCUGGUGGAAACGCAGCCUAAACCUGAGAUGUUAAGACAUCGCCUUGGUUACAUUUAUUUCGAAAAUACAAUUCGCGAUAUCUUUUUUUCGGUACCUACUAUUCUCAUUUAGACUUUUAGUUUCAUUUUUGUACUUCGUUAUUGAUACUUUUAGUUUUUUAAAUUUCUUGACAAUAAUAGGUAUUUAGACAUUUUAGACGUUAUUAUUUUAAGUCAUUUUUCCUUACGACAUUAGUCGCCUGAUUCGUUUUCCGUUCCACAUAAUAUCAGGACACCGUUAUGUCCGUUACCAAUAUACUUUUUAAGAGGAAAGACGACGAAAAAAUAUUAAGCAUUGAAUAUUAUCGGCAAUUCAAGGCAAAUAUUUUUUUUUAUUUUUAAAAUAUUGUUAAGAAUCUUCUGAUAUUUUGUAAACGAAAAAAAUAACGGAAAAAAAAUAACAAACAAAAAGUUCACCCUAGGGAUUCGAACCCGGGGUCACAAUGCGUGUACACUUUAUGAAACCAUGGUUUCAACCUUAUUACAAAAAGCAUAAGGUCCACAGUUGGAUAGUUAAGAGUAUUGCUGUUUGUACCUAAGCCGAUACUGCUACCGGCAGACAGGUAGAAUAACGUUUUUCGAUUUUGUGAUUUUGGCUGUAGUAGACCCUCAGAUAUCAUUCGCGCGCCAAAAGGCUAGGUGUAAAUUACAUUACGACUAUUACGAGUAAUAAAAGCCCGAUAUAAGUCGGUCAUAAAAAAAAUUGUUUAUUUCCGAAAAACAUUUCUUGGAUACAGUUAUAACAAAGCAUACUAAAGCAAUUCACAUGUACCUUACUUAUUGUGUACCUACUUAACUGACGGAAGGGGCGCAGCUAUAAGUUAGUUAUCGACAGUGAUAUCAGCAUUUCACUUCUACUCUACGUACCUAUUGUUUACGUACCUAUUAAGCGACGGGCGAUACGUAUUAAUAUGUGAAACUAGACGAGUUUAUUUUCGAAUAGAGAUAGAAAUAAAUCUAAUUAUUUUACUACAAAUAGGUGUACCUAAGUAUAGUUUGUCAAAAGACAUACUGUAUUAACAUGAAAGGUAUUGAAAUCUGUAAUUAUAUAGUUUGGUAAACAAGUAAUUGUCAGUAAAAAACUGUUACGGAAAAGAGAGUACUGAGCUAUAACCGCGAAAAUCAAAGGUUCGCAAAUUGUGGGGAUCUUUCUCUUUUACUCCAAUGAAGGCAUAAUUCUUCAUUGCAGUAAAAGAGAAAGAUCCCCGCAAUUUGCGAAUUUCGGUUUUUGCGAUAGCCUCUCUGUUCUUUCUGCUUAAAAUGCUCCACUGACAAACGACUCUUCCCAAACUAUAGAUUACAGGUAAACCUACCUGGUAGGUAGGGUUUACCUAGUUUAUUUAAAGUUAGCAAAUAUCUACCUAAGUUAACAAUGUAACGAUAGGUAUAUGGUCUGGCAAACCAAAUUUGUUAGUAGAAAAGGCGGCAAAUUGAAAAAAAAAUGGCGGGAAUAUUCUAUCAUCUCCCAUAUGAAAUUUGAAUUUUGCACCUAAAUGCUUGGUUUGCCAGGCGAUAUUAGAUAUGUACUUACCUGUAUUUGGUUACAUGUGGCCACUACAAGUGUAUAAGUGGGUGAAUCAACCUGUUUUCCCACUCAUUGCCAUAGUUAUGGUUUUCUGAACUACAAAACAAUAGGUACUCAUUCCUUUCUUUUGGGUGCUAGUAUUAGCGUAACACUACAAAGACUCUUUCUGAAAGAUUAUUUGCCUAAAGUGUCAUUCUAUGGAACUUGCUAACUACUUAUGUAAACAAAAGUCGGAAGGAAGUUCAUCAUUCAGAGACAAUUUCAAUGUUUACGUAGUUGUAUGUUUACAUAGUUAGCAAGUUCCAUAGAAUGACACUUUAUGUAUGAUAUGAGACAGUCCCUGGACACAAUAGGGCUUAUUACACUUAUUCUGCCUUCAGACGGCUGACGAUUGCCCCGAUAUCGGGCAAGAAUCGUUUUCCGUUUCAUGUGGUUUCAUGAAAUAUUGUCACAUAGUUCACAAUAUUUCUUGGUGUAAAAAAUAGUUCAACUACAAAAGUAUCAACCAUGUUUGCCAAUUCGAGACAAAGUAUUUGUUACAAUUGAAAUAUUGUUGACGAUGUCCUUAUAUUUCGUGAAACGCAAAACGAUCUUGCUCGGGCGCACCGUCGGCCACGAUCGCAUUAAGGCCCGACGGUGUGGAAGUGUAAUAAGCGCUUAUAAUGUACAUAACGUCAAGGAAUAGUUGACUCACCCAUUUUUUUAGUAGUUGUGACGUGGCUUCGCCAGUCUCCUUUGUGUCUUUUGAGAGUGUGUGGUACAUGUAUGGUAACGAAUAUUGUCAGCUAGAGGUCGGUUCUGUAACUUCCAACAACUUCUGUAAACAGGAUUGUCGUCCGUACAAACAUAGCUAACGUAAUGUUACAUUUUAAGUAAAAAUUAAGGAUGACUCACGCUAGACCGGGCGGGAUCCGAGCCGAGGCGUUCGACACGUCAUUUUCUAUGACGGCUGAUCGGUGUUCACGUGGUGCUUUCCAUAUAAAACGAAGCGCUGGUACUCCGGCUCGGUCUCAGCCCUGUCUGAUCUGCCCAGGUGAUCUCCUUAUUAGAAAUAUAAGGACUAAAUAUAUCCUGUCACAAGUGUAACAGGAUAAUUUCUGCUGAGAGGGACAGCUCUUGUUAGCAGAAAGUAUCCGGUAGCAGAAAAGGUAUAAUCGAGAUGAUUCCUCCGACGAUCUCACUCCUCACAUUUUUUUUAGACAGAAUAGCAUAAUAAAUAGCUAGUAUUUAUUUGUGACUAUAUCCUAGAGCCUCAGCGCCCGUUUUUGUACCCGUUUACUAUCUGUGAAUUAUGUAGAAUAUUGUAAAAUAUAGGUAGUAGGCAAUAUAAAUUGUGACUACCUGAUAGUUAUAUGUUUUUUUUUUAUAAUCAGGCAGACCACUAAGCUUAUACUGUUUAACUUAGGUAUUUUUAGACACUCGCGCGACUUGUAGGUACCUAUACAAACACCACCACCAGACCAGUACAAACGGCAAAUAUCAAUUUACGCUUUUCCUACUGACAUAUUGGUUUGCCACUUACAAUUAUAAUGUACCUACCUGAAAUAUGCUUACAGUAUCGAUUGCAAUGUAUUAUUAGUUACUGCAAUAAAGAAUUUGUAUUUCCAGUUCGAUUGUCAAAGGCUCCAUUAGUAAGUACCUAGGUGAUCAUAGGUCCUAGAUCCGGAUCAUCCGGGGGCUUACGAGAACUUGCUUACUCGUCGAGAUAUGACGAGUAUAUUGUAUUUUAAAUUGUUAAAAGAUUUUUAUAGUACUUUUUGUUGUGUUGCUGUAACUUUGUUAGUGGAUUUGUUUAAAAUUACUGUUAAAUGUUAUAAAAUUUGGUAAAUAAAGUAAUUUAACCAUUUUAAAA